AGCGACACCGUUCCUCCCGCUGACGGGCACCCACACGGCAGAGGAACGAGACCCAGCCCGAGGCGUUCAGCCACUUCUGCUCCCAGGUCGGGGCACGGUGGAAGUGGCAUUUGGGAACUCCAGCCCAACCCCAUCAAACACCGGCAGCGGAUCUGCCGGCGCCUGCGAGGCUCCGUGGCCGAGGCACUCGCUGGAGAGACACCACGGUGUGAGGAGCAGCCUGCGCAGACCCGGUUUUGAGCCUACGCAAACACUGAACCACGAGGGAAGGGGGAGAAGCCGUCGCCACGGACGGGACACGAGGUCCUGCUCGCUGCCGUCAGACAGAGGACAUCAGGCAGCGCCUCCGCAACAGCUUAAAAAAGUAUAUUGUGUUUUGAGUGCCAUAAAUUUGAAAAGGCCCGAGAGAAGAGGUCUGCUCUCCAGCAGAGCAUGGCAGAGAGGUCCCACCUUGCUGGCUGGGGAUGGAGUUUUCGGCCUCAGAGGCGUGGGGAGUCGGGUGCUGCUGGGGAAAACCACCCAAAAAAAAUUAAGGGAAGGAAAAAAAAAAAAAUUAAGUAGUGAGCAAUUUGGGAAAAUCCUGCCUUUUAAGGGUUUUCCGGCGGGAGAGCGGCAGGCCCCGUGCCGAGGGGUGGCAGCGGGGGCGGGCAGUGGCAGCGGGGACCGGUGACGGGCCGGGCAGCUGCAGCGGGGAGAGCGGCACCCUCGUCCUGCCAGCGCCAUGCGGGGCUUUCAGCAGGGCUCCCGGCUGCUGGCCGCCAUCCUGCGGACCCCACGCGUCCCCCGGGCACCCAUCGCCUCCAAACCGCCCGAGCACCCGCUCUCUGCCGCCGAGCAAGCCAUCGCCUUUUCCGUGAUGUCCGCCUGCUUCCUGGUGCCAACAGCCUGGGUCCUGGCACACGUGGAGCACUACAAGAGCCGAGCAGAGUAAGAAGCGGCAAGAGCAGCCCGCACCCCGCCGGGAGCAGAACUAGGAGUGAUGAUCAGACCACAGAUCUUCACCGGGAAGGAACCCUCUGAGUUUGUUCAUUAAAAAAAAAAAUCACGUUAGCGUUAAGCGUGA